rnacentral:rRNA from 1 species
AGGAUGAACGCUGGCGGUAUGCCUAACACAUGCAAGUCGAACGAAGCUCUUCGGAGCUUAGUGGCGGACGGGUGAGUAACGCGUGAGAAUCUGCCUUCAGGUUGGGGAUAACAGUGGGAAACCGCUGCUAAUACCGAAUGUGCCGAAAGGUGAAAGUUGUUUCGCCUGAAGAAGAGCUCGCGUCCGAUUAGCUAGUUGGUGAGGUAAGAGCGCACCAAGGCAACGAUCGGUAGCUGGUCUGAGAGGAUGAGCAGCCACACUGGGACUGAGACACGGCCCAGACUCCUACGGGAGGCAGCAGUGGGGAAUUUUCCGCAAUGGGCGAAAGCCUGACGGAGCAAUACCGCGUGAGGGAGGAAGGCGCAUGUCGUUGUAAACCUCUUUUCUGGGGGAAGAAGAUCUGACGGUACCCCAGGAAUCAGCAUCGGCUAACUCCGUGCCAGCAGCCGCGGUAAUACGGAGGAUGCAAGCGUUAUCCGGAAUUAUUGGGCGUAAAGCGUUCGCAGGCGGCUUUUCCAGUCUGCUGUCAAAGACCGGAGCUUAACUCUGGAAAGGCGGUGGAAACUGAAAAGCUAGAGUUCGGGAGGGGUAGAGGGAAUUCCCAGUGUAGCGGUGAAAUGCGUAGAGAUUGGGAAGAACACCAGUGGCGAAAGCGCUCUACUGGACCGAGACUGACGCUCAGGGACGAAAGCUAGGGGAGCGAAAGGGAUUAGAUACCCCUGUAGUCCUAGCUGUAAACGAUGGAUACUAGGCGUGGCUUGUAUCGACCCGAGCCGUGCCGAAGCUAACGCGUUAAGUAU